rnacentral:rRNA from 1 species
GAUGAACGCUGGCGGCGUGCCUAAUACAUGCAAGUCGAGCGAACAGACGAGGGGCUUGCUCCUCUGACGUUAGCGGCGGACGGGUGAGUAACACGUGGAUAACCUACCUAUAAGACUGGGAUAACUUCGGGAAACCGGAGCUAAUACCGGAUAAUAUAUUGAACCGCAUGGUUCAAUAGUGAAAGACGGUUUUGCUGUCACUUAUAGAUGGAUCCGCGCCGCAUUAGCUAGUUGGUAAGGUAACGGCUUACCAAGGCGACGAUGCGUAGCCGACCUGAGAGGGUGAUCGGCCACACUGGAACUGAGACACGGUCCAGACUCCUACGGGAGGCAGCAGUAGGGAAUCGUCCGCAAUGGGCGAAAGCCUGACGGAGCAACGCCGCGUGAGUGAUGAAGGUCUUCGGAUCGUAAAACUCUGUUAUUAGGGAAGAACAAAUGUGUAAGUAACUAUGCACGUCUUGACGGUACCUAAUCAGAAAGCCACGGCUAACUACGUG